GCAACUCAUUGCCACAACCUUCUAUAGCAGGAGAAAGCAUACAACUCUCUCUCUCCUCCAAAUAUAUAGACACAAGCACAUAGGCGAUUCUUACCUUAACCUUUAUUGCUUCCUCUAUAAGAUCAUGCCUUCCAUAGCUCUAGCUAAUAACUCUUCAGAUUCCAAAGAUAAGAAAGAGAAGAAUAUGAAGAAGAACAUAGCUUUCAAAACUUCAGAGUCCGAGUCUGCAAAUCCCAGCAAGAAGAGGAAUUUGAUGGCCUCCGAGCCCGAAGAUGAAAUCUUUUCUGACAGGAAGCAGAAGAAGAAAGAUAAGAAGAAACGAAAAGCUGUAGACAUUCACUCUGAAGAUGAUGAGAGGAGCGAGACGAGCUCGGAGCUUGUCGAGCCAGUGAAUUUAAAGGUAGAGAAAACAAAAAAGAAGAAUAAGAAGGCAAAGGUCGAUGAAGAGGAGAAUGAGGAGGGAGAGGGAGAGGGAGAGGUAGCCAAGGCCGAGGAUCCUAACGCCAUCUCGAGGUUUCGCAUUUCUGGCCCCCUGAGAGAGAAGCUUAAGUCCAAAGGGAUCGAGUCAUUGUUCCCGAUUCAGGCCAAGACCUUCGAUGAUAUUCACAACGGCUCUGACUUGGUUGGUCGCGCACGGACUGGUCAGGGNNNNNGGCUUUUGUGUUGCCUAUUUUGGAAUCUCUAACAAAUGGGCCUGCAAAUGCAUCAAGAAAGACAGGGAAUGGUAGGCCUCCAAGCGUUCUGGUUCUUCUACCCACCAGGGAAUUGGCCUGUCAGGUGUACAACGACUUCAAAGUUUAUGGUGAGACAUUGGGCUUGAAAUCUUGCUGUUUAUAUGGAGGAGCUUCAUACCAUCCUCAGGAGAUGAGCUUAAAGAGAGGGGUGGAUAUAGUUGUUGGAACUCCGGGCCGCAUAAAGGAUCACAUAGAGAGGGGCAAUAUUGACUUAAGCUUGCUUAAGUUCCGAGUCCUUGAUGAGGCUGAUGAAAUGUUGAGGAUGGGUUUUGUUGAAGAUGUUGAACUUAUUCUUGGAAAAGUUGAGGAUGUAAGCAAAGUUCAGACUCUUCUCUUCAGUGCCACCUUGCCAGAUUGGGUGAAACAUAUUUCUUCUAGAUUUCUUAAAUCAACUAAGAAAACCAUAGAUCUUGUUGGUAAUGAGAAAAUGAAGGCUAGUACCAG
rnacentral:misc_RNA from 1 species